GUUGUACAUAAUGCAGAUAGCUCAGGCGAAAAAGAGAUUGGUGAAAUGGAGAAUGAGACUAACUACGGUG
rnacentral:lncRNA from 1 species